GAUGAACGCUGGCGGCGUGCCUAAUACAUGCAAGUAGAACGCUGAAGCUUGGUGCUUGCACCGAGCGGAUGAGUUGCGAACGGGUGAGUAACGCGUAGGUAACCUGCCUCUUAGCGGGGGAUAACUAUUGGAAACGAUAGCUAAUACCGCAUAAAAGUCGACAUUGCAUGAUGUUGACUUGAAAGGUGCAAUUGCAUCACUAAGAGAUGGACCUGCGUUGGAUUAGCUAGUUGGUGAGGUAACGGCUCACCAAGGCAACGAUACAUAGCCGACCUGAGAGGGUGAUCGGCCACACUGGGACUGAGACACGGCCCAGACUCCUACGGGAGGCAGCAGUAGGGAAUCUUCGGCAAUGGGGGCAACCCUGACCGAGCAACGCCGCGUGAGUGAAGAAGGUUUUCGGAUCGUAAAGCUCUGUUGUAAGAGAAGAACGAGUGUGAGAGUGGAAAGUUCACACUGUGACGGUAACUUACCAGAAAGGGACGGCUAACUACGUGCCAGCAGCCGCGGUAAUACGUAGGUCCCGAGCGUUAUCCGGAUUUAUUGGGCGUAAAGCGAGCGCAGGCGGUUAGAUAAGUCUGAAGUUAAAGGCUGUGGCUUAACCAUAGUACGCUUUAGAAACUGUUUAACUUGAGUGCAGAAGGGGAGAGUGGAAUUCCAUGUGUAGCGGUGAAAUGCGUAGAUAUAUGGAGGAACACCGGUGGCGAAAGCGGCUCUCUGGUCUGUAACUGACGCUGAGGCUCGAAAGCGUGGGGAGCAAACAGG
rnacentral:rRNA from 1 species